UACAGAGGGUGCAAGCGUUGUUCGGAAUUAUUGGGCGUAAAGCGCGUGUAGGCGGCUUUGCAAGUCGGGUGUGAAAGCCCUCAGCUUAACUGAGGAAGUGCGCCCGAAACUGCAGAGCUUGAGUACCGGAGAGGAUGGUGGAAUUCCAGAAGUAGAGGUGAAAUUCGUAGAUAUCUGGAGGAACACCGGUGGCGAAGGCGACCAUCUGGACGGAUACUGACGCUGAGACGCGAAAGCGUGGGUAGCAAAC
rnacentral:rRNA from 1 species